rnacentral:rRNA from 1 species
UAGCUAGUUGGUGGGGUAAGGGCCUACCAAGGCGACGAUCGGUAGCUGGUCUGAGAGGAUGGCCAGCCACACUGGAACUGAGACACGGUCCAGACUCCUACGGGAGGCAGCAGUGGGGAAUAUUGGACAAUGGGGGCAACCCUGAUCCAGCAAUGCCGCGUGUGUGAAGAAGGCCUGAGGGUUGUAAAGCACUUUCAGUGGGGAGGAGGGUUGAUAGAUUAAGAGCUAAUUAACUGGACGUUACCCACAGAAGAAGCACCGGCUAACUCCGUGCCAGCAGCCGCGGUAAUACGGAGGGUGCGAGCGUUAAUCGGAAUUACUGGGCGUAAAGGGUGCGUAGGUGGUUGAUUAAGUUAUCUGUGAAAUUCCUGGGCUUAACCUGGGACGGUCAGAUAAUACUGGUUGACUCGAGUAUGGGAGAGGGUAGUGGAAUUUCCGGUGUAGCGGUGAAAUGCGUAGAGAUCGGAAGGAACACCAGUGGCGAAGGCGGCUACCUGGCCUAAUACUGACACUGAGGCACGAAAGCGUGGGGAGCAAACAGGAUUAGAUACCCUGGUAGUCCACGCUGUAAACGAUGUCAACUAGCUGUUGGUUAUAUGAAAAUAAUUAGUGGCGC